rnacentral:lncRNA from 1 species
UUAGUUUGAGGUGUUAGGGAUUGUUAAAAAACUGAGAUAUGAGGAAUCUGGAACAGUAAUAUACAAAGACCCAACAAUUAGUUUGUUUACUUUGAGUGAUGAUAAAGGUUCCCAAGAUAUAGUUGAUUUAUGUAAGGUACAAAAGAGUGUUCAUUUGUAUGUGCAACAUUCAGUUUCUCAACUAGAUUAUUAUGAUGGACCUUUAGAGGAUGAAACUGAAAACA